rnacentral:rRNA from 1 species
AUACGGAAGGUCCGAGCGUUAUCCGGAUUUAUUGGGUUUAAAGGGUGCGUAGGCGGGAUGGUAAGUCAGCUGUGAAAGUCUGCGGCUCAACCGUAGAAUUGCAGUUGAUACUGUCGUCCUUGAGUGCAGAGGGGGUAGGCGGAAUUCGUCGUGUAGCGGUGAAAUGCGUAGAUAUGACGAAGAACACCGAUUGCGUAGGCAGCUUACCAUAGUGCAACUGACGCUGAGGCACGAAAGUGUGGGUAUCAAACAGGAUUAGAUACCCUGGUAGUCCACACGGUAAACGAUGAAUGCUAGCUGUUUGCGAUAGACUGCAAGCGGCCGAGCGAAAGCAUUAAGCAUUCCACCUGGGGAGUACGCCGGCAACGGUGAAACUCAAAGGAAUUGACGGGG